AUUGAACGCUGGCGGCAGGCCUAACACAUGCAAGUCGAACGAGUGGCGGACGGGUGAGUAAUGUCUGGGAAACUGCCUGAUGGAGGGGGAUAACUACUGGAAACGGUAGCUAAUACCGCAUACCAUCAGAUGUGCCCAGAUGGGCUUAGCUAGUGGGUGGGGUAACGGCGUACCAAGGCGACGAUCCCUAGCUGGUCGGAGAGGAUGACCAGCCACACUUGAACUGAGACACGGUCACGACUCCGACGGGAGGCAGCAGUGGGGAAUAUUGCACAAGGGGCGCAAGCCUGAUGCAGCCAGGCCGCGUGUAUGAAGAAGGCCUUCGGGUUGUAAAGUACUUUCAGCGGGGAGGCGUUACCCGCAGAAGAAGCACCGGCUAACUCCGUGCCAGCCGCCGCGGUAAUAC
rnacentral:rRNA from 1 species